CCAGACUCCUACGGGAGGCAGCAGUGGGGGAUAUUGCACAAUGGGGGAAACCCUGAUGCAGCGACGCCGCGUGGGUGAAGAAGCGCCUCGGCGCGUAAAGCCCUGUCAGCAGGGAAGAAAAUGACGGUACCUGAAGAAGAAGCCCCGGCUAACUACGUGCCAGCAGCCGCGGUAAUACGUAGGGGGCAAGCGUUAUCCGGAUUUACUGGGUGUAAAGGGAGCGUAGACGGCGAUGCAAGUCUGAAGUGAAAGGCGGGGGCCCAACCCCCGGACUGCUUUGGAAACUGUAUGGCUGGAGUGCAGGAGAGGUAAGUGGAAUUCCUGGUGUAGCGGUGGAAUGCGUAGAUGUCAGGAGGAACACCGGUGGCGAAGGCGGCUUACUGGACCAUAACUGACGUUGAGGCUCGAAAGCGUGGGGAGCGAACAGGAUUAGAUACCCCUGUA
rnacentral:rRNA from 1 species